rnacentral:lncRNA from 1 species
GCGCUCAAUAGCUGCGUACCACAGGCCUUUUACAACGAAGAAAAUAGCCUCUUAAAGAGGGACAUGUUUUAUCGUCCUUCCUCGUGAACUUACUGAAGGUUGUUACCGUAAAAACAACUUAUGAGUAAUGCCGAUUGGUCAAGGUCACGAAACAGUCCAUUAUCUGUCCUAGACUCUUUGGUACAGUGAUGCGAGCGGCUGUCGUCUUCCUGUUACCCGGAGAAUUCCGUUCUCGAGCGGGCUGUUGAACUGCGAGGAUUUUUCACGCCAGCAACUUUCCGCUCAGUGUUCAAUACGAUUUUAAUAUGUUUACCAACCUUUACCCUUUCAAAUUAUUAAACGUUGUGCGAUCAAAACACAUCGACUGCAC